UGGGGAAUAUUGGACAAUGGACCAAGAGUCUGAUCCAGCAAUUCUGUGUGCACGAUGAAGUUUUUCGGAAUGUAAAGUGCUUUCAGUUGGGAAGAAAAAAAUGACGGUACCAACAGAAGAAGUGACGGCUAAAUACGUGCCAGCAGCCGCGGUAAUACGUAUGUCACAAGCGUUAUCCGGAUUUAUUGGGCGUAAAGCGUGUCUAGGUGGUUAUGUAAGUCUGAUGUGAAAAUGCAGGGCUCAACUCUGUAUUGCGUUGGAAACUGUGUAACUAGAGUACUGGAGAGGUAAGCGGAACUACAAGUGUAGAGGUGAAAUUCGUAGAUAUUUGUAGGAAUGCCGAUGGGGAAGCCAGCUUACUGGACAGAUACUGACGCUGAAGCGCGAAAGCGUGGGUAGCAAACAGGAUUAGAUACCCUGGUAGUCCACGCCGUAAACGAUGAUUACUAGGUGUUGGGGGUCGAACCUCAGCGCCCAAGCAAACGCGAUAAGUAAUCCGCCUGGGGAGUACGUACGCAAGUAUG
rnacentral:rRNA from 1 species